GUUUAUGGUGGGCUGUGCGAGGAAGCCGCAAGGCUUGCCGGUUCCUUGGGUCCGGUCUGUCAACCUCGCACGGUCCGCCGCCAUU
rnacentral:antisense_RNA from 1 species